AGAGUUUGAUCAUGGCUCAGAUUGAACGCUGGCGGCAGGCCUAACACAUGCAAGUCGAGCGGUAGCACAGAGAGCUUGCUCUCGGGUGACGAGCGGCGGACGGGUGAGUAAUGUCUGGGAAACUGCCUGAUGGAGGGGGAUAACUACUGGAAACGGUAGCUAAUACCGCAUAACGUCGCAAGACCAAAGUGGGGGACCUUCGGGCCUCAUGCCAUCAGAUGUGCCCAGAUGGGAUUAGCUGGUAGGUGGGGUAACGGCUCACCUAGGCGACGAUCCCUAGCUGGUCUGAGAGGAUGACCAGCCACACUGGAACUGAGACACGGUCCAGACUCCUACGGGAGGCAGCAGUGGGGAAUAUUGCACAAUGGGCGCAAGCCUGAUGCAGCCAUGCCGCGUGUGUGAAGAAGGCCUUCGGGUUGUAAAGCACUUUCAGCGGGGAGGAAGGCGNNNNNNNNNNNCGAUUGACGUUACCCGCAGAAGAAGCACCGGCUAACUCCGUGCCAGCAGCCGCGGUAAUACGGAGGGUGCAAGCGUUAAUCGGAAUUACUGGGCGUAAAGCGCACGCAGGCGGUCUGUCAAGUCGGAUGUGAAAUCCCCGGGCUCAACCUGGGAACUGCAUUCGAAACUGGCAGGCUAGAGUCUUGUAGAGGGGGGUAGAAUUCCAGGUGUAGCGGUGAAAUGCGUAGAGAUCUGGAGGAAUACCGGUGGCGAAGGCGGCCCCCUGGACAAAGACUGACGCUCAGGUGCGAAAGCGUGGGGAGCAAACAGGAUUAGAUACCCUGGUAGUCCACGCUGUAAACGAUGUCGAUUUGGAGGUUGUGCCCUUGAGGCGUGGCUUCCGGAGCUAACGCGUUAAAUCGACCGCCUGGGGAGUACGGCCGCAAGGUUAAAACUCAAAUGAAUUGACGGGGGCCCGCACAAGCGGUGGAGCAUGUGGUUUAAUUCGAUGCAACGCGAAGAACCUUACCUGGUCUUGACAUCCACAGAACUUUCCAGAGAUGGAUUGGUGCCUUCGGGAACUGUGAGACAGGUGCUGCAUGGCUGUCGUCAGCUCGUGUUGUGAAAUGUUGGGUUAAGUCCCGCAACGAGCGCAACCCUUAUCCUUUGUUGCCAGCGGUCCGGCCGGGAACUCAAAGGAGACUGCCAGUGAUAAACUGGAGGAAGGUGGGGAUGACGUCAAGUCAUCAUGGCCCUUACGACCAGGGCUACACACGUGCUACAAUGGCAUAUACAAAGAGAAGCGACCUCGCGAGAGCAAGCGGACCUCAUAAAGUAUGUCGUAGUCCGGAUUGGAGUCUGCAACUCGACUCCAUGAAGUCGGAAUCGCUAGUAAUCGUAGAUCAGAAUGCUACGGUGAAUACGUUCCCGGGCCUUGUACACACCGCCCGUCACACCAUGGGAGUGGGUUGCAAAAGAAGUAGGUAGCUUAACCUUCGGGAGGGCGCUUACCACUUUGUGAUUCAUGACUGGGGUGAAGUCGUAACAAGGUAACCGUAGGGGAACCUGCGGUUGGAUCACCU
rnacentral:rRNA from 2 species